AUUAGGCUACAUGUAAAUUCACGAAUAAUAACAACACAGAUGAUUGCGGUCACCAUAGCACUUCACCACAGGCCGCUCUGUUGGAGGCUAACUCCAUAACACUUCACUUUCCACUGUACCACAGUAAUGUGCAAUUGUAGAUUCCAGCAAUGCUAUGGUAUGGUAUCCCACAGCAAUGUUAUGGGAUCGUUUAAUGGCUACCUCUCAU